rfam:Schistocephalus solidus strain NST_G2 genome assembly, scaffold: SSLN_scaffold0008216
GGCCUCGUAGCUCAGUUGGCUAGAGCGUUGGCUGUACUAACGUCUUCCCCUUGUUGGCGUGGGUUCGAAUCCCACCGAGGCCG